rnacentral:rRNA from 1 species
CUAGUAACGGCGAGUGAAGCGGCAACAGCUCAAAUUUGAAAUCUGGCCCUCGUGGUCCGAGUUGUAAUUUGUAGAGGAUGCUUUUGGUGAGGUGCCUUCCGAGUUCCCUGGAACGGGACGCCAUAGAGGGUGAGAGCCCCGUCUGGUUGGACACCGAGCCUCUGUAAAGCUCCUUCGACGAGUCGAGUAGUUUGGGAAUGCUGCUCUAAAUGGGAGGUAUAUGUCUUCUAAAGCUAAAUACCGGCCAGAGACCGAUAGCGCACAAGUAGAGUGAUCGAAAGAUGAAAAGCACUUUGAAAAGAGGGUUAAAUAGUACGUGAAAUUGUUGAAAGGGAAGCGCUUGUGACCAGACUUGAGCCCGGUUAAUCAUCCAGCCUUCUGGCUGGUGCACUUGGCCGGCUCAGGCCAGCAUCAGUUCGGCGCGGGGGAUAAAGGCUUCGGGAAUGUGGCUCCUCCGGGAGUGUUAUAGCCCGUUGUGUAAUACCCUGUGCUGGACUGAGGUUCGCGCAUCUGCAAGGAUGCUGGCGUAAUGGUCAUCAGCGACCCGUCUUGAAACACGGACCAAGGAGUCGUCUUCGUAUGCGAGUGUUCGGGUGUCAAACCCCUACGCGUAAUGAAAGUGAACGCAGGUGAGAGCUUCGGCGCAUCAUCGACCGAUCCUGAUGUUCUCGGAUGGAUUUGAGUAAGAGCAUACGGGGCCGGACCCGAAAGAAGGUGAACUAUGCCUGUAUAGGGUGAAGCCAGAGGAAACUCUGGUGGAGGCUCGCAGCGGUUCUGACGUGCAAAUCGAUCGUCAAAUAUGGGCAUGGGGGCGAAAGACUAAUCGAACCUUCUAGAGCUGG